CCUUAUUUUUCACGACAACAAGGGCGGCGCCAUUUCGCUCAUUUUGUCAACGUUCUUCCGGCUGCAUAGACGAUGAGCAGCUGAGGCAGUGACAGAAGGCGACGCGUUAAGCUUAAAAAGCUCACUCGAGCGCCUUUAUGUUUCUUUCUUACCAAUUUUAAGCAAACUGAGGAACACCCUUAUCCCAAGUAAUGGUUCGACUACGAUGUUCCGGUAACUUUAAACCACGCCGGGUGUUGAAAAGGUGGCAGUUUCAGAUGCAUUGAUGUGUAGUGAUGCAGUGGACAACUGCGAGGAUGAUACUGCAAUCAACAUGUUCCUAAACUGUGAUGCAGAAACACAAUGGGAGGAUCCAUCCGUCUCUGACCACAACUACACUUUAAAAUCACAACUCAACCUGAAGCAACCUACAUCUGAUAUGGGAAAACAAUGGUGCAGUUUCCCUGACAGGGCUUAUGCUAAAAUGUCCUAAUAUAAUUAAAUCCUAAUCCUGUAAACCCUGUCCGAGAAACUGCUUCAAUGUGUUGAGCUGGCACAAAUGUACAUAUCUCUGCUGAGAAACAACCAUCUUUCUGUCAGCUUUACAGAGGGUUGAUAUUGCAUCCAUUACACAGUCGCCAAGCACUUUACCAGUACAUACACCAACAGCUUCCAGAUAAACACUUGGGAUCAGCUCCUGAUGACUCCGAUAAAGCUGUGUCUUAAUUUAUUGCAGGGUGGUCUUGCUUUACCUGUUGUAAAGUUACAUUAAACCUUCAUAUGUGAUCAGAUGUCAUGCAGUGAUAUUAAACAUUUACAGUGUGAUCAGAUGUUGUGCAUUUAUAUUAAACCUUUACAAUGUGAUCAGAUGUUGUGCAAUUAUAUUAAACCUUUACAAUGUGA